rnacentral:lncRNA from 1 species
CGGGUCUCAAGAAAUGGAAUUAUUGUUUGCUUAGACAAUUUUAACUCAAUGGUGAAUUCACCUUAAACAAUUCUAAUAUUACCUUUUUUUUAUUUCCAUUUUUAUUUUUGUUCUUUCAACAUUUUUCAGAGACUAAUCAUUGCAAAAAUCACUAGUGUCUUAAAAUUUCCUUUAGCAAUCAAAUUGGGAUUCUGGAGACUAAGUCUUGUAGUUGGUAACCCUAAAUAAACUUGUUGAUUAUGAAACUGGGCCAUUGAUAGGGCCAAAACUGUCACGACCCAAACCCAAGGGUUCGUGAUCGGUGCACGAUCCUAGCAAGCGAAGCUUGUGAGACCCAAG